UAUUAAGAGGAGGAGAUUAUAACCGCCUACCUAUUUGUAAGUAAACUAGGCAUAGUCAAAAUGAGCCAAAACAUUCUUAUUAGCAAUAAAAUAAUCAAUUUUGUAUACACCUUUAAACAUACUUAGGUACCUUCCUAUACGUGAUGAAAUUUAAUAUUGUUAGUUUGAUAGGUACCAUUUUUAUAAAUAAAUUAUAUUAUAAAUUAGGACAGAUUUUAUUUGAACAUGGAACAAAUAAGUAAUAAUGUUACAUAAAUAACGAUACAUUAUGU